rnacentral:misc_RNA from 1 species
AACGCACAUUGCGCCCCUUGGUAUUCCGAGGGGCAUGCCUGUUCGAGCGUCAUUUCAACCCUCAAGCUCUGCUUGGUCUUGGGCCUGGCCGUGAUGGCCGGUCUUAAAAUCAGUGGCGGUGCCGUCGCAGGCUCCAAGCGUAGUACAUCUCUCGCUCUGGAAACCUGGCGGUGCCUGCCAGACAACCCCUAAUUGUCUCUUUCGGUUGACCUCGGAUCAGGUAGGGAUACCCGCUGAACUUAA